GACAUUCAGCUGUCAAGCGAACCAGACAAGUUUCGAUAGAAUCUCCAUCAGAACGGCAAAUUUUCAGUCAAGUCCUUGUACCAUGCAGUGGCUCAUAGUGAUGUUCAGGUUGAUGAGAAAAGAUUGUGGAAGAUCAAAAUACCUCUAAGAGUGAAGAUAUUCCUCUGGUUUCUGAACAGAGGGGUAAUCUUAACUAGAGAUAAUAUGGAACGACGCAACUGACAACGUAGCAAGACAUGUGUCUUCUGCCAGCAAGACGAGUCUAUUAAAUACUUGUUUUUUGAGUGUAAGUUUGCUCGGGCGAUGUCGACCAUUAAGGAUGGCAAUUUUACCCAUGGGUAUCCGAUCCGAAUGGAUAGGGUUUGGAUAUGCUUUUGUGCCCAUGGGCGGCGGCCAAACCCGACCCGAUUGCUUGCGGGUAGGGCAUGGAUAUAA
rnacentral:rRNA from 1 species